rnacentral:misc_RNA from 1 species
AACUGAUACUACCUGCGGGAACCUGCGGAAGGAUCAUUACAGAGUUGCAAAACUCCUCCACACACGCGAACUUACCCGUAUUGUUGCUUCGGCGGGCGGCCCCAGGGCGGGGCCGUAGCCUGUAAAGGCGCCCGCCGGAGGUGCCAAACUCUGUUUGUAUAGGCCUCUCUGAGUAUUGCAAGAAUAAGUCAAAACUUUUAACAACGGAUCUCU